GAUGAACGCUGGCGGCGUGCCUAAUACAUGCAAGUCGAGCGAACAGACGAGGAGCUUGCUCCUCUGACGUUAGCGGCGGACGGGAGAGUAACACGUGGAUAACCUACCUAUAAGACUGGGAUAACUUCGGGAAACCGGAGCUAAUACCGGAUAAUAUAUUGAACCGCAUGGUUCAAUAGUGAAAGACGGUUUUGCUGUCACUUAUAGAUGGAUCCGCGCCGCAUUAGCUAGUUGGUAAGGUAACGGCUUACCAAGGCAACGAUGCGUGGCCGACCUGAGAGGGUGAUCGGCCACACUGGAACUGAGACACGGUCCAGACUCCUACGGGAGGCAGCAGUAGGGAAUCUUCCGCAAUGGGCGAAAGCUUGACGGAGCAACGCCGCGUGAGUGAUGAAGGUCUUCGGAUCGUAAAACUCUGUUAUUAGGGAAGAACAAAUGUGUAAGUAACUAUGCACGUCUUGACGGUACCUAAUCAGAAAGCCACGGCUAACUACGUG
rnacentral:rRNA from 1 species